CACGGGGGGAGCAAGCGUUGUUCGGAAUCACUGGGCGUAAAGGGCGUGUAGGCGGUCGAGUAAGUGGGAUGUGAAAUCCCCCGGCUUACCCGGGGACCGGCAUCUCAAACUGCUCGGCUAGAGUAUGGGAGAGGAUGAGGGAAUUCCUGGUGUAGCGGUGAAAUGCGUAGAUAUCAGGAGGAACACCGGUGGCGAAAGCGCUCAUCUGGCCCAAUACUGACGCUGAGGCGCGAAAGCUAGGGGAGCAAACGGG
rnacentral:rRNA from 1 species